ensembl:snRNA U6 U6 spliceosomal RNA
CUUGCUUCAGCAGCAAUAUACUAAAAAAUUGGAAUGAUACAGAGAAGAUCUGCAUGGUCCCUGCUCAAGGAUGACAUACAGAUCUGUGAAGUGUUCCAUAUUUUU